rnacentral:rRNA from 1 species
CCUACGGGAGGCAGCAGUGGGGAAUUUUCCGCAAUGGGCGAAAGCCUGACGGAGCAAUACCGCGUGAGGGAGGAAGGCUCUUGGGUUGUAAACCUCUUUUCUCAGGGAAGAUAAUGACGGUACCUGAGGAAUAAGCAUCGGCUAACUCCGUGCCAGCAGCCGCGGUAAUACGGAGGAUGCAAGCGUUAUCCGGAAUGAUUGGGCGUAAAGCGUCCGCAGGUGGUUAAGAAAGUCUGUUGUUAAAGCGUGAGGCUUAACCUCAUAAGGGCAAUGGAAACUGUUUGACUAGAGUACGUUCGGGGCAAGGGGAAUUCCCAGUGUAGCGGUGAAAUGCGUAGAGAUUGGGAAGAACACCGGUGGCGAAAGCGCCUUGCUAGGCCGUAACUGACACUGAGGGACGAAAGCUAGGGGAGCGAAUGGGAUUAGAUACCCCAGUAGUCCUAGCCGUAAACGAUGGAUACUAGGCGUUGUCUGUAUCGACCCGGACAGUGCCGUAGCUAACGCGUUAAGUAUCCCGCCUGGGGGAGGUACGCGAGACGACUAGUGAACGUACAAGUAAGUAGUAGACGCGAGAGACGCGACGACGACGACGACGGAGGAG